UACGAAGGGGGCUAGCGUUGCUCGGAAUCACUGGGCGUAAAGGGUGCGUAGGCGGGUCUUUAAGUCAGGGGUGAAAUCCCGGGGCUCAACCUCGGAACUGCCUCUGAUACAGCAAGUCUUGAGUCCGGAAGAGGUGGGUGGAAUUCCUAGUGUAGAGGUGAAAUUCGUAGAUAUUAGGAAGAACACCAGUGGCGAAGGCGGCCCACUGGUCCGGCACUGACGCUGAGGUGCGAAAGCGUGGGGAGCAAACAGG
rnacentral:rRNA from 1 species